AGCAGCCGCGGUAAUUCCAGCUCCAAUAGCGCAUAUUAAAGUUGUUGCAGUUAAAAAGCUCGUAGUUGAAUUUCGGGGUCAGUAGGUUGGUCGUGCCACUGGUAUGCACUGGUCUCACUGAUUCCUCCUUCCUGAUGAGCCGUAAUGCCAUUAAUUUGGUGUUGCGGGGAAUCUGGACUGUUACUUUGAAAAAUUAGAGUGUUUAAAGCAGGCUAACGCUUGAAUACAUUAGCAUGGAAUAAUGAAAUAGGACGAUCGAUCCUAUUUUGUUGGUUUCUAGGAUUGACGUAAUGAUUAAUAGGGAUAGUUGGGGGCAUUAGUAUUCAAUUGUCAGAGGUGAAAUUCUUGGAUUUAUUGAAGACUAACUACUGCGAAAGCAUUUGCCAAGGAUGUUUUCAUUAAUCAAGAACGAAAGUUAGGGGAUCGAAGACGAUCAGAUACCGUCGUAGUCUUAACCAUAAACUAUGCCGACUAGGGAUCGGAUGAUGUUAAUUUUUAAUGACUCU
rnacentral:rRNA from 1 species